GACAUUACAAAGGACCUCUGUGUCAGAAACUAGGAUUAAAGAACAAAUACAGAACAAAUGAUUCCUCCAGCACCCCUACUGCAAGGAUUUUAAGAACUCUAUCUCAGGAUAAAGACCUGAGGGUCACAAGAUGUACAUCGCUGGCCCCAGCUGGAUUUUCCCACGGUUAGGUGCCCAUUCCUACCUAAUCAAAGGACACUUCUGCUGACCUGCACCUAGAAUACCCUGCUCUGUGCUGAUGACUCAGAUGUAAGAAUGAUGAAGUGCAUCAGUUGGCAUGCAGAGAACAAUGAGAAAAAGAACUGAGUUGUGGGAAGACAUGAGGAAAGGACAUGAGGCUCUUAAUAACAGCUGCCAAGUACUGCAGUCGGGAAUCUGGAGCAAAGUGAUUCAAUUCUGACCACUGCCUGUGAGUAAACGGGAUUUUCUUUUUCAAUACUUUUAACAGUAUCUCCUUCAUUACAUGUGAACAGCACUCCAGGAUAGUAAAUCAUGAAGUGGGAAUAAAGCCUGUAAUUUUAAUUAACAUAUUUUAAAAUGUUUCUAAUUUGUAUGCAUUUGAUCAAAUUUUCAUUUGCAUUGAGCUAUUUUUUCUUUCUCAUAUAAUGUUUGACAUUACCAUUUCUUUCUUUAAUGAAAUACUAAUAUUUAAUAAAAUAUAUUACAUCCUUAA
rnacentral:lncRNA from 1 species